AGGUGCCACUGAGCUCACGCCAGUGCAAGCUGAACCUGUUCCUUUUCCUUCGGUUGAAAAACAGCGAGGUAUAUACGGUCGUUUUUGUGACUGGAUGACUUCUCAAUUUUCUGAAUUAGUUGAAGACUUUUCUGAGCCUGUUGUUGUUGUUGUUGAUGAUGAUGAUAGCGCAGAAGAUGAUUCUGAAGGGGAUCCUUUGACAGUUCGCAACCAAUGCUACAAAACCUGUCUCUUCUCUUGCUGAUAGCUUCGUAUCAUUGCUACGGUGGAAUUCACCAGGAGCAACAUUGUUAGCAUUUUUUGAUUUUGUAUGGGUGUUAAAUUCUUCCUCAUUGAUUACAUUUUUUCCCGAUUUCCACAAGUGCAACAAAAGCAUGAUACACCAGCUAGAUUGUGGAAAACUUUACCAACUGAUGCACCGCUGGAGAGGAAACAUAA
rnacentral:misc_RNA from 1 species